GAGGACUCUGAUUGGACAGUUGUGUGCACGUGUCUGCUGGUUAUAUAAAAAGCCGUGUUUGAAUUUGCUCGGCCCCUUCUGGCCACAUCACAGGUUUUCUUUGAUUGUGACCAGAGGUAUAAGUACUUUAUUCACAGCUGAGACUGAUCAUUGCACUCAAGACUCAUCGCACUCAACUCAUCCUCAAGACUCCUGGAGCAGAUUUGUUCACUCACACUCGAUCACAUUUCACGUUUUUUUAUAUAUAAUUUAUUAGGUUCUCUUAGAUCAUUUUACAUCAAGUAGUUAAGGUAGGUUAAGGUUUAGGUCAGUUAAACUUUGGAAGAAGUUUUUUUUGUUUGUUUGUUUUCUGUCCAGCAGGAUGCUGAGGAAGGGAAGGAGGUCUGAGGCACCGAUGGAGGAAGCUUGACCUGGAGGAGCAGACUCCCUUCACUUCCCCCGAAGAUGGUGUCGUUCAGAGUCGAGGGCCAGGAAGACCCACCCACCCCCCGCUCCCAAGCUCCAGUCAGCAACGUAUGUUCAUAUGAGACAUUGUCUGAGGUUUAAUGUGUUGGUUGGAUCUUCACCCCCAGCCAAGCCUUUCUGGAGCAUGGGAGAUGUGCUUCCCAAAGUUUGACCACGCCAGGGUACCGGGUUCCGCCAUCGUGUGUGGAAGUGGCCAACCUCAAAGCUCACAGGACGGAGCCACAAGUUGGUCAUCCCACUGGAGUCUCCUGACAAGUUCGUUCUGAUUGUCGGGGACUCCCACCUCUGGUCCCUUGCGGACGGUUUUGCCGUGAUGCCAGAAGGGAAGAAGUUCUCUUUUGGUGUCAUGUCGACCCCUGGGGCCCACACUGCGGACGGAGGUCCUGCAUGCUGAUCUUCCUUGGCCCCCUGACGUGGUGUGUUCAUGCCCCCAGCAACAACCUGACGGCGAGCAGGACCAUCGACGAGGCAGCCGUUGAUUAUGCAAGUUUCCUCACUGCUGUGAGGAGCCGCUGGCCGGAGGUUUUUGUGCUGCAGUCGUGUGUCGUCCCCCCCCGCAGGAGGAUGAGACGUACCAGGUCCUCCUGCGCCAAGAGUACCACCGCAUGACGGCUCGUAUGGGUGUGAGCUACUUCUCUGUGGUGGAGCACUUCCCCCUUAUGCGCUUGGAUCUCUGGAGCAGAGAUGGUGUUCACCUGAGCGACUGUGAAGGGAUGGGCAUCCUCACCCAGCUGCUGUGGGCUGCCAUAGAGCAGUUCCUUGAGACACCACCUCCUCCCCCGGUGUCUCCCACUCCUUUGCAGCCACUUGGGAAGGUAUCUCCUAAGCUGGUUGUGAAGGGAGAGUUAUGUGCUCCUGUCUCCUGACCCCUUCCAGUGGAAGGUCAUUGGUCAGAGAAGCAAGUCGCAGGUUCCUGGUCAGGCCAGCGUGGCACAGCAGGAGUCCUUCCUCCCACUGAACCCAGUGUGGUUCAGUAGCCCAAUCCUUCGUGCUGUGGAGGUGUCUCCUUCUUAGCUGUCUGGCAUGGAGGACUGCAGGUCUCCUCCAGUGAGCAAGAAGGUGGCCUCCCCAGCGGCAGCCAGACAUCAUAGGACUGCAGAGAGACGCCCGCCCCCACCACCACCGCCAGUCUCCUGUGAACAAUCUGGUUGGAUCCCCUCCAACCAGGCUGUCAGAGACUGGAGGAUGACACCCCCUCCAGCCCGGUUCCUCGGUCCAGGACCAUGGAUGGACCAUCCCCCCCGCACCCAAAUUUCAGUGACCAACCUGAUGGAGUCCCCUCCAGUCAGGUUGUCCUGCAGUUUGGGUGAUCCGGAGACCCCUGCUGUUCCCCGGUUGUGAAGGUGCCCAGGAUGAAGACUCCUUCACCAGCUGGACCAUCCAGGACCAUUAAAGAUGUGGCCCAUCAGUCUCCUUGCCCAGCUAAGACAUGGACACAGUUUCCCUCAUUGACUUCCUGGCCCUGGAUAAUCGACAAUGGACUCUCCAGCUCCCCUGCUAAAGAGUCUCUGUUCUCUCUUUACUGGCCAUGUUCAACAGGAGGAGUGUCUCACAGCAGAGUGAGGAAGAAAUCAAGAGGACCACAGCUGAUCUUGUGCCAAUCUAGGAUGAAGACCUACAGAAGACUACAGCAGCUCACUCUCCAGUGAAGACAGCAACCCAGGAGAAGAAUGAAGAACAGGCUCAGACCUCCAGGAGACUUUUUUCCUUUUAUCUUUACUUUCCUGAUGGAUUCAGUUGUCUUGUUUUCACAGCUUUGUUUCUUAGAAGAUUAGGUCUCGUUGUAUUUAGUAUGGAGGAUAUGCACCAGGUACUAGGGUGUGUGAUUAGUUGACCGGUAGUACCUAAUCUGCUUUUUGUUGCUGCAGUAAUGCUUUUAUGGCUGAGGACUACAGUUGACUUGUUAACUUGAGUUCAGUCCUAAAGUUUCCAUCAAUGAAACUGUCUUCAUGUUAAACUGUUCAUGUUUAUAGUCAUGCUGUCUGUUGUUGCCCAAAUGAGGAUGGGUUCCCUUUUGAGUCUGGUUCCUCUCGAGGUUUCAUGUCUGAGGGAGUUUUUCCUUGCCACCGUCGCCACAGGCUUGCUCAUUGGGGAUAGAUUAGGGACAAAAUUAGCUCAUGUUUAAAGUCGUUCAUAUUCUGUAAAGCUGCUUUGCAACAAAGUUUAACACUAUACAAAGACUCUUGUUUUGAUUUUUGCUGACUCAUCAGGUGUUUUUUCAAUGCCUUGAUUGCUUGUGUUUUAUGGGAAAGUAAACCUAAUCUGCUGCAAAAUGUCUGUUUAUGGUUUUUUAUUAUUGCUUGCUAGGUAUUAGCAUGUUAGCUAGCUGUUAGCAUCAUAGCAAGUCACACAGUACAGUACAACUCCUGCGAUAGCGACUGCUACGCGCACUGCAUCCCUCUCUCAAUUUCCCCUGGGGGAAUUGUCGUCUCGAGUGUUUUAUACUGUUUAUAUUGUCUGAGUUUAGUCUGUCUUGUUCUUAUCUAGUGUUCAUACUAUUUAUUCUGUUUAUUGUUUGAGUGUUUAGUCUGUCUAGUUCCUAUCUAGAUUGUUUAUACUGUUUUUGUUUUUUCAAUUCUAUUUUUAUUUAUUGCAUUGCCAGUUUGUACUGUGGAUCAGAGAGGACUGAUAUUUCAUCUGUGCUGUACAGUAUGUCGAGCAUGUAUAGCAUAUUUGACAAAGUUGACUUGAAAUUUCAAAAUGUCUCACUUUCGACAUUUGAUAUGUUGUCUAUGUUCUAUUGUGAAUACAAUCAGUUUGAGACUUGUAAGUUAUUGCAUUCCAUUAUUUACAAUUUGUACUUUGUCCUAACUUUCUUGGAAUCAGUUGUAAAUGAAUAAAUAAAAUGACAUGGGGGGGGGGAGACAACAAAAGGAAAUAAAGUAAAUACAUUAAUCUUCUUUGAAAUACACACGAGGGGUUUAUGUGGAUAUGGUGCCUUGUUUAGUGUCAAUUAGUCUAAGGGAUUUCAUGUACUCUUUAAACUCCUGCAAGAAACUUUUAAAGUUGGGUGGAGUAUUUUGUGUAUGUGAAAUUUUGCCAUACAAAAUGAAUAGGUUUGUAAUGAAGGUGUCAUUUUCUCCAUGGACAAAAUACAUUAUCACACUUCUGCAGUCAAUUAAGAUGUUUAUCUUGAUUUUACACACUAUUCAAGUUGAGACCAGAAAUUGAUUGGACACAGUGGUAGAAUAAAUGAGUUAAGGUUUCUGGGUCCAUAUUGCAAAAACUGCAUUUGUUUUCAAUGUUUAAAAAUUUAGAAAUAAAUUUGUUGGAUAUCUAGUGUGUAAAAUUGAUGUGAACCUCUUUUAUUUUAUUGGAAAUACAAUACUUAAGGCAAUGUCCAGGCCUUCUUCCAGUCAUUGUCCAUAAAGAUGUUAUCCCAGAAUGCUUUCCCCUGUGGAGUUAUUUUCCUCUUUUCAUAAAAAGUAUUAGAGCUCAGUGACACAGCAGGGCUGUUAGAUGUGAUGCGCUUAGACUCUGCCUCCCAGCCCAUUUCUGAUUGGUUAAAGACUGCAUCGCUGAAGAAUUAACUGUAUGCUAGAAAUGUGCAAUGUAAAAUUUAUGUCUCUGCUCUAUGAACAUUAAAUGACAGUUGUAGUACUACAUUUAA